ACUCAUCCUGCUACAUGGCUGGGCUGUAAAAGCAGAGCCCGCCCCUCUCCACACCCAGUAAUGAAGAGAGAACAGAGAGCAGUGCAGAAAGUCCAUUUCAAACACCCUGCAGAGCUGACACUGAAAAACAGCUCAUUUUCUCUUCUGGACCCAUUCCCAGCUAUCCCAUACUUUUAAUGAGGAGGAAAGACAUUUUCGUUUGCCCUCUGGACACAGACCUUGGCCUGCUCAAUGUGAGACCCACUUGUCACGUUCCUCAAAGCUGCUAACAGGUAUCUUCCCCAAAGAGUUAAAGACACCAUAUUACAGUGAUACACUCAUACCCAUGUUUAUAGCAGCACAACUCAGAGUAGCUAAAUCCUGGAAGAUGCCUAUAGGUCCAUGAACAGAUGAAUGGAUAAAGAAGAUAU
ensembl:lncRNA